GUCUGAAGCAGCUAAUCUCACAAAUUCGUGGCCUCUUACCAUUGUUGCAGGGUGGACGUGACUGGACGCAGUGGGGCGGGUAUGGAUAAGGUUGAACUGGCUAACGUUGCAAAGCCGGCUGAUGAGCCCACUCUAGGAGCAGCUUCGUCCUCAAUAUCAGCUGCUCGAGGAAUGAAAGACUGCAUUUACGCUAUCGAUCAGGAGCAGAAAGCCUUGGACAGACUCAUCAUGGAGGUCGGCAAUGAUUCUGGAGACAAGAACGUUCGCCUGGAUGGACUUCAGAUAUCCAUGACAUGCAUUGCUAAA